rnacentral:rRNA from 1 species
AUUGAACGCUGGCGGCAUGCUUUACACAUGCAAGUCGAACGGUAACAGACCGCAAGGUGCUGACGAGUGGCGAACGGGUGAGUAAUGCAUCGGACUGUGCCCAGUCGUGGGGGAUAACGCAGCGAAAGCUGGGCUAAUACCGCAUACGAUCUGUGGAUGAAGGCGGGGGACCGUAAGGCCUCGCCCGAUUGGAGCGGCCGAUGUCAGAUUAGGUAGUUGGUGGGGUAAAGGCCUACCAAGCCGACGAUCUGGAGCUGGUCUGAGAGGACGACCAGCCACACUGGGACUGAGACACGGCCCAGACUCCUACGGGAGGCAGCAGUGGGGAAUGUUGGACAAUGGGCGCAAGCCUGAUCCAGCAAUGCCGCGUGCAGGAAGAAGGCCUUCGGGUUGUAAACUGCUUUUGUACGGAACGAAACGGUCUGGGUUAAUACCCUGGGCUAAUGACGGUACCGUAAGAAUAAGCACCGGCUAACUACGUGCCAGCAGCCGCGGUAAUAC